rnacentral:rRNA from 1 species
GACGAACGCUGGCGGCGUGCUUAACACAUGCAAGUCGAACGGAAAGGCCCUGCUUUUGUGGGGUGCUCGAGUGGCGAACGGGUGAGUAACACGUGAGUAACCUGCCCUUGACUUUGGGGUAACUUCAGGAAACUGGGGCUAAUACCGGAUAGGAGCUCCUGCUGCAUGGUGGGGGUUGGAAAGUUUAGGCGGUUGGGGAUGGACUCGCGGCUUAUCAGCUUGUUGGUUGGGUAGUGGCUUACCAAGGCUUUGACGGGUAGCCGGCCCGGGAGGGUGACCGGCCACAUUGGGACUGAGAUACGGACCAGACUCGUACGGGAGGCAGCAGUGGGGAAUAUUGCACAACGGGCGGAAGCCUGAUGCAGAAGCGCCGCGUGCGGGAUGCCGGCCUUCGGGUUGUAAACAGCUUUAGCCUGUGACGAAGCGUGAGUGACGGUAAUGGGUAAAGAAGCACCGGCUAACUACGUG